UCCCCCGGGGGGUUUUUUUUUUUUUAAUUUUUACCGUCGGAAAACGGGGGGGCGUCCUAAUACAUCAAGUCGAGCGGCAGAAGAGGAGUUGCUCCUUGAAGUCAGCGGCGGACGGGUGAGUAACACGUGGGCAACCUGCCUGUAAGACUGGGAUAACUCCGGGAAACCGGGGCUAAUACCGGAUAAUUUCUUUUUUCGCAUGGAGAAAUGAUAAAAGACGGUUAAGUUGUCACUUACAGAUGGGCCCGCGGCGCAUUAGCUAGUUGGUGGGGUAACGGCCUACCAAGGCAACGAUGCGUAGCCGACCUGAGAGGGUGAUUGGCCACCCUGGGACUGAGACCCGGCCCAGACUCCUUCGGGAGGCAGCCGUAGGGAAUUUUUCGCAAUGGACGCAAGUUUGACGGAGCAACGCCGCGUGAGUGACGAAGGCCUUCGGGUUGUAAAACUUUGUUAUCAGGGAAGAACCCGCAUCGGAGUAACUGCUGAUGCGUUGGCGGUACCUGGCCAGAAAGCCCCGGCUAACUACGUGCCAGCCGCCGCGGUAAUACGUAGGUGGCAAGCGUUGUCCGGAAUUAUUGGGCGUAAAGCGCGCGCCGGCGGCUUAUUAAGUUUGAUGUGAAAGCCCACGGCUCAACCUUGGAGGGUCAUUGGAAACUGGGAGGCUUGAGUGCAGAAGAGGAGAGCGGAAUUCCACGUGUAGCGGUGAAAUGCGUAGAGAUGUGGAGGAACACCAGUGGCGAAGGCGGCUCUCUGGUCUGUAACUGACGCUGAGGCGCGAAAGCGUGGGUAGCGAACAGGAUUAGAUACCCUGGUAGUCCACGCCGUAAACGAUGAGUGCUAAGUGUUAGGGGGUUUCCGCCCCUUAGUGCUGCAGCUAACGCAUUAAGCACUCCGCCCUGGAGUACGCAACGGGC
rnacentral:rRNA from 1 species